rnacentral:piRNA from 1 species
UGGCACUAACUCCUGCCGACUGGCAAA